ensembl:lncRNA
CUCCUGCCUCAACCUCCUGAGUAGCUGGGACUACAGGCACAGGCCACCUUGCUCCACUAAUUUCUGUCAUUUUUGUAGAAAGAGGGCCUUGCUGUGGUUGUUCUUGAACUGUUGGGCUCACGUGAUCCUCCUGUCUCUGCCUGUCAAAGAACUGGGGUCACAGAAUACUCCUGGCUCUUCUUGGUCUUUUUAUAAUUUGUCAGCAUUUUCCUUGGGACUCUGCUGGUCUGUUUCAGAGUGACUGAGUGGCCCCUCCCUCUCCUACUGAUCCUUUGAUAUCUGAACCCUGGGCCACAGUCCAGCCACAGCCCUGAAGCUCCUGGCCUCUCUACUCCUAGCGCUUUCAGAAAGUUCACUGCCUGGCACAGAAAAGACCCUCCUGAUGCCAGCCAAUGUAGACACACUCCCUGCAAAGAUCCCACUGGAGCUCACCAUGCUGGGCGCAUCACCCACAUCCCUUCCUCUGGCUCCUCAGACUUGCAUCCCACCAUCAAAUACCCCUCCACCCCACAGAUUCCAAAUAAGCACAGUCACCCCAACACUGAGGUCCCUUCUCUGAUGGGCAGCCCCUCCCCAGCCCCCUAUUGCCCCAUCUCCAGGAUCUUUCUCUUCCAAGAUGUGACUUUUCUCUCUGUGUGUUCCUUUCUCUCCAUCAGUACCUGCUAGCUAUGGUCAUAGCAUAUUUUAGCCAUGCCGGCUUCUUCUCCUGGCAAUACUGAUGCAUUCAUUUCUUCCUGGCCCUGUACCUGGCCAAUGACGUGGAGGAGGUUGAUGAGGCCCCCAAACAAGCCAUCUUCCACUUCCUGUAUGGGAAGAACCGCUUCCAGUGACCCUUGUUCCAGAAGCUUCGGUUCCAGUUCUUCUGUUCCAUGCACUGGAGAGCUUGUGUUUCCCCAGAGGAGUUGGAGAAGGUGAGUGGGGUGUGGGGAGGUGGAGGAGGUGGGGAGGAGUCAAGUGGAUUGGAGGCUGGAUGAAGGGAGGGAGGGGCAUCUGAGGAGUCCCCGUCUUCUCAAGGACCAUUUUCUUAUCCAGAUCCAGGCUUAUGACCCAGAGAACUGGGUGUGGGUAUGAGACCACGCCCUCCUUUCCUAGAGCUCCAGGGACCAUGGAGGCCUGAGGUCAUCAGCCUGAGGGAAGGUACAUUUGUGUCCCCUAGAGUCAAGGCAGAAUAUUAUGGUCUAUUUAGGAAAUCUGAGGAACCCAAUUGCUUGAACCAGCUUCAAACCUGGGCAACAUGGCGAGAUCCCUUUUCCACAAAAAUACACAAAUUAACUGGGUGAUGUGGGAGGCAUCUCUAUUCCCAGCUACUCAGGAGGCUGAAGAGGGAGGAUCUCUGGAGCUUGGGAGGUUGGGGCUGCAGGGAGCCCUGAUCCUGCCACUGCACUCCGGUCUGAGACCCCAUAUCAAAAAUCAUCAUAAAUACUGAGUUCCAGGAGGUUGAUUACGAUUGACGCACUUGAGUUACCGAUGUGGGUCUAGGAUUCAGUGAAGAUUCGGUUUAUGUCUUGUGCAGCUAACCACGUUGAGGACCCAGCAUGAGACUUAACCAUUAGGAAGUGAGAUUACGGAUCAGGCUUCUGGAUUGGUGGUUAGUGAUGAUGUCACAUUAGAAACACAGCUAGCAUGGUUACAAGUUUAGAUCUUAAGUUACACCAAAGGCCCCAGGUGUGAUGAAGUCCAAAGCCACAUUCUCUGAGGGUGCUCUACUCCCUGAGCAGACCCACCCAAAGUCCUGACUAUGAAGCAGAUCGCUGGGGCUGGCCUUGGGUGUAUUAAGUGAGAUUUGGAGUCAGGUUCGCCAAAGUGUGAAUAUCACAAUUGAACAUGAUGGUUCAGAAGCAGGGUAGAGAAUGAAGGUCAGGAGAUAAAAUUGGAUUGGUCAAUUGCUAGUUAGAAUUGAAGUGGGAUGUGAGUAACUUUCCUGUCUAGAGAACUGCCUCCUUGAAAUGUGACCUCCUCUCUUUCACUUCCAGAACACUGGACCCAGGGAAGAUGUGGAUUUUCAGCAGGAAGUUUAUUCCAAUGUUAAUGGCAGACACCAGGAAGGAAGAGAGGAACCAUUUGUGCAGAUCAUCUGGAAGAACCUAGAAGAACCUGGACUGUUCUAGAAGGAGCCGAAUAGAGUGAUUAUGCUGCCCUCCUAGGAGUGGUGGGUAGGGGGUACUUCUGGGCAUCCUUGGAGGACAGUGAGAAACCAGCGGUGUUUCUUGUUCCACCCCUUCCUGCAGCACCACCUCCCUUUUUAGAUUGCUGAAUUCUACCUCCCUGGGGUGGAACCUGGAGGUCCUGCUUCCUAUGGACUUGGUUGCCACAGUCCGGGAGCAUUUGAAGGCACAGUGCAGGUGCUCAGAUUGGCACAGAAUUAUUUGUAAAAUAUGAGUGCCACAGGAUUGUAACAGAUAGCUUCAUGCAUACUAUGCAUUUUGUUGGUUUGUUUGGAAAACGUCGGCCAUUGAAUUAUUAGUACAUUUAUUUCAGAUAGUUUGGAAAUUUUUAUACUUUUGAAGACAUGCUGCUCCUGUAGAGAUUUUUGAUGACAGUUAUAGCUGUUACAUAUACAUAAAUAUAAUUUUCUUUCCAUUUUUAAGAAGGUAUUUUGUUUAUCCUAAAUCUUUUAUUAUCUGUUAUUAUAUGUGCUCCUGAAGUGAACACUCUUUUUAUCUAUGAUGCUUAUGUAAUCUAUUAUAUCAUAUCUAUGUGGUAGUUCUCGUAAAUUCUUGUACUAGGAAUUUUUAUUUGCUGUUUCAUGUUUGUUACUGAAUUGUGAGAAUCCAGUUGUGAUUUUUAACAUAUCUUAGGUAUAUGUUAAUAGGUCUAAUAUAUACUAUACAUUUUAUUGGUUUAUUUUGAAAAAGGUGGGCAUAGAAUUCUUUUUUUUUUUUUUUUUUUUUUUUUUUUUUGAGAUGGAGUUUCGCUCUGGUUACCCAAGCUGGAGUGCAAUGGUGCGAUCUCGGCUCACUGCAACCUCCACCUCCUGGGUUCAGGCAAUUCUCCUGCCUCAGCCUCCCGAGUAGCCGGGAUUACAGGCACACGCCACCAUGCCCAGCUAAUUUUUUGUAUUUUUAGUAGAGAUGGGGUUUCACCAUGUUGACCAGGAUGGUCUCGAUCUCCUGACCUCGUGAUCCACCCACCUCGGCCUCCCAAAGUGCUGGGAUUAUAGGCUUGAGCCACUGCACCCAGCCCCUAGAAUUCUUACUGUAUUUAUUUUAAAUAGUUUGGAAAUCCUGGUAUUUUGAAAAGACAUUGUUCCUAUAGAGUUGUGUGAUGAGUGUUAUAGCUGUUAUAUACACAUAAAUAUAAUUUUGUUUUUCUUUUAAGAGAGGAUUAUUUUUAUCCUAAGUAUUUUAUCUUUAAAUCUUUGUAUGUAUUA